GAUUUGGCAAGGAAAUACAAGAGCACCAGCUGAUUGGUGGGCAUCAUAUGGUUCUUAUACUCCAAACUUGCAAACUUUUGCUAUAAAAGUCCUUAGCCUAACAUGUAGUUCAUCGGGUUGUGAACGAAAUUAGAGUGUAUUCGAACAUCUUCAUAGCAAGAAAAGAAAUAGAUUGGAAACGCUCAAUGAUUUAGUGUAUGUCAAAUACAAUAGAACAUUGAGAUUUAGGUAUGACAUGCGCAACACUCUUGAUCCCAUAUCUUUGCAAAAUAUUGAUGAAAGCAAUGAG